UUNUGAACUGGGUGACUAGAGUGUGUCAGAGGGAGGUAGAAUUCCACGUGUAGCAGUGAAAUGCGUAGAGAUGUGGAGGAAUACCGAUGGCGAAGGCAGCCUCCUGGGAUAACACUGACGUUCAUGCCCGAAAGCGUGGGUAGCAAACAGGAUUAGAUACCCUGGUAGUCCACGCCCUAAACGAUGUCGAUUAGCUGUUGGGCAGCAUGACUGCUUAGUAGCGAAGCUAACGCGUGAAAUCGACCGCCUGGGGAGUACGGUCGCAAGAUUAAAACUCAAAGGAAUUGACGGGGACCCGCACAAGCGGUGGAUGAUGUGGAUUAAUUCGAUGCAACGCGAAGAACCUUACCUGGUCUUGACAUGUACGGAAUCCUCCAGAGACGGAGGAGUGCCUUCGGGAGCCGUAACACAGGUGCUGCAUGGCUGUCGUCAGCUCGUGUCGUGAGAUGUUGGGUUAAGUCCCGCAACGAGCGCAACCCUUGUCAUUAGUUGCCAUCAUUAAGUUGGGCACUCUAAUGGGACUGCCGGUGACAAGCCGGAGGAAGGUGGGGAUGACGUCAAGUCCUCAUGGCCCUUAUGACCAGGGCUUCACACGUCAUACAAUGGUCGGUACAGAGGGUAGCCAAGCCGCGAGGCGGAGCCAAUCUCACAAAACUGAUCGUAGUCCGGAUUGCACUCUGCAACUCGAGUGCAUGAAGUCGGAAUCGCUAGUAAUCGCAGGUCAGCAUACUGCGGUGAAUACGUUCCCGGGUCUUGUACACACCGCCCGUCACACCAUGGGAGUGGGGGAUACCAGAAGUAGGUAGGGUA
rnacentral:rRNA from 1 species